UCAUUAGAAACGUGCCGGUAGCCAGGGGGCUGAGACUGAAUGCGGAAGAGUACAGUCAAGAGGAGGAUUAUAAGGAGGAGGAGAAUGGAUCCACACACAGCCAGACCCACAAACAGUCCUGCAAGGGAGAAAAUAAGCGUUUCCAGAAAUCUCAUUUCUACCUUACUCAACUCAGCUGUCUGUGGAGAGCUGAAGAUUUCAGACUGCAGUUAUUUUCUAGUGACUUUCAAAUGAGUAAUUUACUGUACCUGUGGCAUGGUAUUUAAGCUACAAAGCGAGAGGUAACAGAGCCCUGAGACCGAAUUACCAUGGUUGUAAGCGGAUGACCAAACUUACUUCACAGAACAAUGUGUCAUACACACUCCAAACAGACUCGAGAGAGAGAUCCCGGAUUCCAGUCUCGUUUGCCACCAUCUGCAGGAAUUGCUGUAGGUAUGAGCACAGAGAGACCUUCAAUUUUUCAACCUCCUACUGCAUUGCGCACGCAGAAUGGAGUCUUCCUACCCUUCUCUCAGAUUACGUAGAGCUAACAAUAUUUCAGCUAAAAUCCUAAGACCAUUUUGUUUCAUGCAAACGAUCACUUACCAAGUUGUCUCUGGUCUUAUUUAUGUAUUCUGCUGAGUUCCGUGUUUCAUUCUGUAGCUGUUCAUAUCGUGGACAGGGGGUCAACGGAAACUUCAAUAGCUGGAGAGAGAGACAAGAGCAGCAAGAUCACCGAGAAUACCAAUGUACAGCAUUUGUACAUACAGGACUUUUGACAUACAAAAUUAUACUGAAACUCUGACUAGUGGAAUGCAUCUAUGAACAGCUUCAGGUACUGCCUUCUAACACAUCCCAGUGUGGUCUGGUGAGUGGUUGUGGCUAAUAUUGGCUGUACAAACACAGACCUUCAGUUUUCAUCUUGUUCAAAGAACAGAAGAGUCUUUGCAAGACAGGUUCCUAGGAGAAGCUCAAGACAGCCUGAACUGAGACUGAAGGAAAAACUUCUGGAGAAGUCAGUAUAACAUGUUACUCGAGUAGUCAGUACAUAUCCCUGGGACUAGCUUACCAUUUCCCCGGACUCUGGCACUGUGUGCACAGGGAUAGGCUGCCAGGAAAUGUUAGGGUUGAACAUCUGUUGUUCCUCUGGAGGAUACAGGCCGGCCAGAUUGGCCUCCGCACUCAUCAACGUCCGAUCAUAAUCUGUGCUGCGGAUGAAGAUCUGCCAGGAUAUGGACAGUGCUUAGUUAUUAGUAUUUAUUAAUAUUUACGUUAGUAUUGCUACUGUAAAUGGUAGUGCUUAGACACAGGACAACGUGUGUGCUGAGGAACACUGCCAAGUGCCCUGCAGCUGCUCACAGACAACGGGAUAACAGGAACUGAAGUGACUGAGCCUGCUGCUGUCAACCUGGAUGGAAUUAUAAGGAUGGGUAUGAGAGAUGAUUUGUUGUGUAGCGCUGGAGCACUCUGUUCUGGGUGAGUGGGAGAGCAAGAUGCACUGUGUGGAGAUUACAGAUGGAAGGAAGGGAGUCUGAAUAUUCGAGUCAGAGAAGGGCAAGACAGAGGUGCAGAUAAUGAUGGGCACAGAUAGGAAGUGCACUGUAUUUGCAAAGCAGGACUGGGGCAAACUGCUGUAUUCAGUUCUCCAUUUCAGGAACAAGCUACUGCUCGUACAAAAACCUGCCUUCUCCACACCUCAACUUUACCACCUGAGAAAUGGAAACGAGAGUGGUCUAAGAGAGAAAGAGAAGUGAGGAAGAUGAGAUUUUAUUUGAUGCAUGUGUACUUUUGGGAUUAAUGGGUCAAGACUUACCGGUCCAGAGCUCAGAGAGAAAUCUGAGCCGGAAAGGAAACAGAAAAUACAAAGGAGUUCAGAGUGUCAAAGUGGUAAAAUCUUUGGUAUUCCGAUAUCCAUGUGCUGAAAACGCUUUGGGGAGACUGGAGGGAAACCAGUGCUAAGACAGGAGAAACACAUACAAAAGGACACACUAAAAACCAACACUGGACCUGAAAUAACAAGAACAGAAAGCCAGAAGAAUCAAAUAUAAUGCCAAGAUUGGGGUUUUGUUUUAAACGCUAAAUGAAAAGUGAGAAAUGUAAGACAAAAAACCACGUACACUCAUCCUGUAUAGCACCUCCCAUGUAAACUGUGUCUCAAAACUGAAGUCAUGGCAAAAAAAGUCUUGAUCAUUUCUACCUACAUUUACCUUCUAACUGUGGCUUGAAAAAAAACGGAUCCUGUACUUGUUAGACAGGAUUGCCUCUGUCCUAGGUAUGCUCUGAAGAAACAGAAAGGAAAUAUUUUAAAAUAUACAGACCUAUUUCUCUAAGUGUCAUCAAAAAGAAGCCAAUUAAGCCCUGAGCAUAUUUGCUUUCUUCAGCACCUUUUGCCAAGGCUCCAGCCUGUCGCUGAGUCAGGUGACAGAUGGUCACACGGUAUCAUCCAGAGGCAAUACUUCUUACACGAGAGCUUGCUCAACUCCAGCCUGCUCAAUUCAGGCUCGGUUAGCAGAACAGUUUUUGUUUGCA